GAUGAACGCUGGCGGCGUGCCUAAUACAUGCAAGUCGAGCGAACAGACGAGGAGCUUGCUCCUCUGACGUUAGCGGCGGACGGGUGAGUAACACGUGGAUAACCUACCUAUAAGACUGGGAUAACUUCGGGAAACCGGAGCUAAUACCGGAUAAUAUAUUGAACCGCAUGGUUCAAUAGUGAAAGACGGUUUUGCUGUCACUUAUAGAUGGAUCCGCGCCGCAUUAGCUAGUUGGUAAGGUAACGGCUUACCAAGGCAACGAUGCGUAGCCGACCUGAGAGGGUGAUCGGCCACACUGGAAGUGAGACACGGUCCAGACUACUGAGGGAGGCAGCAGUAGGGAAUCUUCCGCAAUAGGCGAAAGCCUGACGGAGCAACGCCGCGUGAGUGAUGAAGGUCUUCGGAUCGUAAAACUCUGUUAUUAGGGAAGAACAAAUGUGUAAGUAACUAUGCACGUCUUGACGGUACCUAAUCAGAAAGCCACGGCUAACUACGUG
rnacentral:rRNA from 1 species